CGCAGAGGUUAAGCCGGAAAGGACACUUCCAAACUAUAUUAGUACAGCUUGAGCGCUUACAGUAUCCAGUCUUCCCUUUCGCCCAUCAGAAUCAAAAAUGGCAGCAGGAGAGGGCAGUGGCGGCGGCGGAGGCAAUGCGGGAUGGUCGAUCUUUUGGCUUCUUGUACUUUUUCUCUUUGGCUUCUGGCUGGCGGGAUUCUGUGCCUUCUUGUACAUCAUCGUCAAUAUAUUCGCUGCGUGCAUUGAAGCACUGAAUCCGGUCUGCGACCUCCUGCUCAAAGGAAUUCAAUUCACCGGGACUUGUGCGCAGUGUAUGGUGAAAGGAACGCCCGUCAACGAAGCAUUUAAUUAGACGCAGCGGAGACGAAGGGGGGGGACAAUGCAUUUUCCGUGUGUGUUAUUUAUUAUCGUCGAGUGAGAUGGCUGGUGGAUGCUGCUGCUUGGUGAGUGAGAGUUAACUGAUUUAGAAUGCGGGGAUGUGCACGUGCUUACACAUACAUGCUUAAACAAAUGCAUAAGCACCUCACACGUAUGCAUGCACGGACGGACACACGCACACACACGCACGCACACACACACACACACUCAGAAUGAUUUAAUGAUUGAAACUACAAUACCAUCUAAAAACACUAUUAAAAAAACAUACAUUCUGCUAUUCAGGAGUUACAGGUGUUUGUAACGGAACUUUAUCAUUAAGUGUCAAUCAGAUAACAAGUGGAAUGUACUGUGUCACAAAGAUAAGCUUUGAAAUACGUGUGUGACUCAGUAAGAUUCAAAUAUGUGUAGCACUCAGCACAAAUUGAUACAUCUGAUUAUAUUUACGACUAAGUAUGUUAUCAGCGAAAUAAUAAAUGUUUACUACAA